GGACACGCAUCUCGAAGAACAAUCGUUACUGCACAAGGUGGAAACAGUUAACAAAGGUGGUUUGCUGAAAAGGAGGCUGCCUCUCAAACCUCCUCCUAUCUGACCUGACAGCAAUUGUGAGUGGAAAUCCUCACAGAUGCAUAAGAGCGGCUAUACAGGGUCAGACCAACAGUCCAUCCAGCCCAGUAUCCUGUUUGCCGACAGUGGCCAAUACCAGAUGCCUCAGAGGGAAGGAACACAACAGGUGCCUUUUCUUCACUGCAGCAAACCUUUUUAUUACAUCCAAAGGGGAGCAAGUGCUGGAGUAACCAGGAGGUGGCAGUCAUGGCAUGCUUCUUUGGUAUUGUUCUUCUGCAACCAGCAGGAGCAUUAGAGCCCAGGAACAAUCAAUGGCAUUUAAAUGUUGUUUGAUGGAACGGGUAGGUGGUGGUGAGGGGGGACAGGCUGGCAUUUGACUGCAGCAUGCGCACUGGAAAAGCUGGCUGGAUUCCCAGCUCCCAAAGAAGGAAUAAAACUCCCAGGCUUUUGGUGGCAAGGACUUUACAAAGGUUGUAAAAUGUCACUGCAGGAUGAGUGGAAUUGGCAUGCCCCCCAUUCACACAGAAAAGCUGAUGUUCCUGCAAUGGCAUUCCCACUUAGCUAUACACCCCUUGGUUUAGUGGGGCUUGCAGGUGCUGAUUGUGUUCCAUGUGUUAUCCAGUAUGUUUGCCAGGUUCCUGGUAAGACACUCUUAGUUCUUAUAUGGCUCUCUUCCUCAGUCAAUCCCAAAGUACAUUAUAAAGGAAUUCAGUAUCAUCAUCCCCAUUUUACAGAUGGGGAAACUGAGACACAGAGCAGUGAUGCGACUUGGUCUAUGUUCACUCAACAGCACUUAGGCAGCUGGUGGGCUAAAGGCACAGCCUGACAUGUUGGCCAAUAUUUUCUCAUUGUUUCCAUGUGCUCCCCAGGCUGUAUGUACCUCUCUGGGAUUUCCUAUCUCUGAGCUUUUCGGGCAGGAGCUUUUUGUUCUAUGUUUGUACAGCAUUGUAGCACCUGGUUCAUGACGGUAGCUCCCAGGUGCUACAAUAAUACAAACAAUAAAUCACCAUAAUAAUAGAGCCAGGACUAAAACUCCUAGCUUCAUGUAGUGCACUACCCCCUAGACGACGCUACCUUCUCAGUCACAUCCAGCCAAACCAUGUCCAGUGCAACCAAGAAGAGAAUUUGGUACAUAAGGGUCCAUUUCCAAUGGGCCAGAUUCUAUCCACUGGGUUUCACAGGGUGUAAAUCAAAGAGAGAAUUUGCCCCCAAUGUGAUUUGUAAUACUGGACAGUCAAGAGGCUACAACUGAACUGGGUUCCAGGGUGCUUCAUUCUGUACAAACACAUCGUGAGAGAUGGUCCCUGCACUUAACACCUCACAGUCCACAUAGACAAGACAAAGGUGGGAGAAAGAAGGAUCAUGUCUCCAUUUUAUAGACCGGGACUGCACUACAUAAAGACUAAGUGACUCACCCAAUGUUACACAUGGAGUCAGUGGCAGAGCCAAGUGUAAAAUCUAGAUCUCCUGAGCCCCAAUCCACUACCUUAACUGUGUGACUGUCCUUCCUCUGUGAGACCUAGUUUAUCUUACGACUUCAUGCACAUUGCAGUAGGGAGCAAAGGUGGUGGGGCACAGCCACUCAAAACUUGGGGGAAAUGCUGACUUGUAAUUGCUAAUGUAGCUAUAGUAGUUCUUGUGGCCUAUGUAGCUGGUAUCUGUUAUGACUUUCUACUGCUCCUCUAUUGGGGAAAAAGCCCAGCUUUCUGGCUGCAGGGGCACCUGCCAUGCCUGUAUUCUGAUACCACCAGCUGCAGAUGAGUCACAUACACUGUGCUAUCUUUCAUAGCAACCUUACUUAUGUUCUUUCUUGGGCUGUUGUUUUCUUAGCACCAUUGCCCUUUAUUUUAAGCUAACAGCUUGUGCCGGCUCUUAAUGCUGAGCUUUGCAGUCAUAGCUUAGUACUGCAUAGACAAUGAGCUCUGCAAAGUAGUAUGGAACAAAAGGGGCUGGAGUGACAAAUUCAUGCAACAAGCACGGGGCUGCAGAGCUGUGCCGGUGCUGAACUAUGGCACCUUACAUGAUUACAAAGGAAGCACAUGAGCGCUGCGUGGUACUGAGAUCUCAAGAAGCGGUGAAUUCUUACUUCAAGUGGCUGGUGUCCUUGCUCUCCAAGUCACCUUCCAGGGAUGCAGGGGAAGAUGGUGGAGAGAGGCUGCUGCGUCAGGGGGAGCGUCACGGGUGCAGAGGGGGAGAGGAGCCCUCCAAUCUGUCGUUUCAGUAGUGCGGGGACAUUGUUUGUCAGUUUUUCUUAGGCAGCUUCACUCACUACCUUCCAUUCACCCUUCAUGAUUUACUAAAUCGCUGGGAGUGCCUGCUUCUCUGCUGACCUCUUUCAAAGCAGAUUUGGAGUGCAGCGACGAGCCAGGCCUGUUUGCAUUUCCAGUGAAAUCUGUCCCUAAAGAACACCCAAGGGACUGCUCUUUACCUGGGUGCUAUAACAGAUGGCUGCAUAAUGCGGUGCAAUUAAUACAGCCACGCCUGCAGGGGCUGAAAAUUUACUGCCUGAUAGGAGAGGUUACUGCAGCUAGGAGGUGACUAAGCACAAGUGUCCCUGUGCUUAUUCCUAAUAACCACAUCCCAGGAUCUCCCAGCGCUCUGAAGAUACCACCAUCCCCUAUGAGAUAGGGAAGCAUUUUAGCCACAUCUCACAGUUGAGGCGCUGGGGGUUGAUCAAAGUCACACAAGGAGUUUGUGGCAGUGCUGGGAGUAGGCACAGUAGGGAAUGUAGGAAGCCAUAUCAAAAAAGAGCUUGCUCAGAGGGAGUCGCUGCCUCACUAGUUAGGAGAGAUUCUUCCACAAGUUCCAAAUGGGGCAAAUGGAACUGGUCCCGGAAGUGGGGCUAGCAGACUCUCCCAGAGCAUAGGGACCACGACACAGUCUGGGAGCUGCUGGUGUAUACUGUCUGGACAGAGGAGAGUUAAGGCAAGAAUUGGAUUGUAGCUUUCCAGGGGAUUCUGUCUAGGUUUCUCAUGUUUUAAGUUUGUGUUUGGGGGUUUUAUGCUGGCUUGGCUCAGCCAGAGGCAGAGACACUGCAAACUCCCAGUGGUGGAGCAGUGCAGUGCAAACUCCCAGUGCAAAGUUGGUGAAAAGUGCAGAUUUGUCGAAACUCAACUUUUGGCAGGAGAGGGCUGGAUUUGACAGAACUUUUGCCGGGCAGGCGUCUGCGUGCACAUGUGCACAAGGAUAGCGCAGCACUGUGUGCAUGGAGGGGUGAAAAUAGCUAAGUGGCUAGAGGUUCAUCUUGCUGCAGGCUGGGAAAUGUGUGAAACCUCCAAUAUGAUUGAGGGACGGGGAAACCAUUCCCCACCCAGCUGGCCUAACAGUGAAGCAGCCCUAGGAAGAGAAUCCAGGAGUUCUGCUUCCCCAGUGGGAAUGGGCCUGGGGCACGUGUCGCUGUUCAAUAGAACAACCCUGUGAGGGCGGCUGAAUCUCUACAGUCCCUGGAACAUCAUCUGCCAGUGCCGGGGGGAGGGGGGUGGAGAGAGAGCCAGGGAGCUGCUCAGUGAUUUCACAAUCCUUGUUAAUGAAGCUGCUCAACCGGCCACUAACUCCUAGGGGCUUAGGAGCUGGGCCGUAACUGACAGGCUGUCAAUUUUUGUCCCACUAGCUCCUUCUAUGGUUCUUCCUUUCACAGAUCUGAAUCUACGGUUCCCGCUUCCCAAUUACUGUGGUCUCAGGAGGGCCUUUUCAAUUAGCCUAUUAGCCCAUUUAGAGGUUCUCAAAAACCCCUCAUUGCUGAGUUCGCUCAAAGUUAUUCACGGUGCUUGCUUAGGUGAGACGCCGAUGCCUAGGGGAAGUGGCCUCUGCAAAGUGCCUGUCUCCUUGCCAAAUAACCCGGGGCAAACCCAGAGCUUCCUAACCAUGCUGAUGUUAUUCUGCAGCCCUCCCAGGGCUCAGUCCCAGCAUGAAUGCCGCACGCCCCUUCCUCAUGCAUUGGGCACAGUUAGGCACAGCUGCAGAGCAGGCUUCACUUUGAAACCUCCCCUCCUUAGGGGGAGAGGGAAUGACAGUCACACUCAGGGCCAUCUUUAGGGGUGUGUGGGUCCCGGGAUGCCCCUCCCCACCCCCAUGCUCCAACCCAGGCCCUGCCGCAAUUUGUCUCACUCUUCCCAUCCUCACUUGUACCCUUCCCUCGAGCCUCCACCCUCUCCUGCCCCCAUUGCAGCCCUUUCCCCAAGCACUGCAGUCCAGGGAAUUAUUGGGGCUGGCGUGGGGUGGCAACUGGGGUCGGGCCCCUGAACUCACCAUGGUGGCAGGAGCCAUGGGAAGCAGAGCAGAAGUGGAGUGACCCAGCCCACUCCAUUCCCGAGGGAGAGCUACGCAGCAGGUGGGUCACUACUUGCCACAGUUCCCCUGCCACGGUGUGUGUGGGGGGGGGCCCGACCCCUGUAA